rnacentral:misc_RNA from 1 species
AACGGUCUAUACCUGCGGUACCUGCGGAGGGAUCAUUAACGAAUUAAACUUGAAGGGUUGCAGGUUGUUGCUGGCUUCUUCGGGAGCAUGUGCACGCCUCGGCUCGUUUUCUUCUCUCCUUCACACCCCUGUGCACUUUCCAUGGGUUCUGACUUGAACGGCACCUCUCGAGUCCUGUAGCAGGGACGACCAGAGCGCUGUCGGGUUGCCCCAUGUGCUGUCUACACACCACUUUGUCUG